GAUGAACGCUGGCGGCGUGCCUAAUACAUGCAAGUCGAGCGAACGGACGAGAAGCUUGCUUCUCUGAUGUUAGCGGCGGACGGGUGAGUAACACGUGGAUAACCUACCUAUAAGACUGGGAUAACUUCGGGAAACCGGAGCUAAUACCGGAUAAUAUUUUGAACCGCAUGGUUCAAAAGUGAAAGACGGUCUUGCUGUCACUUAUAGAUGGGUCCGCGCUGCAUUAGCUAGUUGGUAAGGUAACGGCUUACCAAGGCAACGAUGCAUAGCCGACCUGAGAGGGUGAUCGGCCACACUGGAACUGAGACACGGUCCAGACUCCUACGGGAGGCAGCAGUAGGGAAUCUUCCGCAAUGGGCGAAAGCCUGACGGAGCAACGCCGCGUGAGUGAUGAAGGUCUUCGGAUCGUAAAACUCUGUUAUUAGGGAAGAACAUAUGUGUAAGUAACUGUGCACAUCUUGACGGUACCUAAUCAGAAGCCACGGCUAACUACGUGCCAGCAGCCGCGGUAAUACGUAGGUGGCAAGCGUUAUCCGGAAUUAUUGGGCGUAAAGCGCGCGUAGGCGGUUUUUUAAGUCUGAUGUGAAAGCCCACGGCUCAACCGUGGAGGGUCAUUGGAAACUGGAAAACUUGAGUGCAGAAGAGGAAAGUGGAAUUCCAUGUGUAGCGGUGAAAUGCGCAGAGAUAUGGAGGAACACCAGUGGCGAAGGCGACUUUCAGGUCUGUAACUGACGCUGAUGUGCGAAAGCGUGGGGAUCAAACAGG
rnacentral:rRNA from 1 species